GGCUAGUCCCAAGGUAGUAAAUUAUUUCAAUUGUUCAUAGUCAGUUACAGAUUGAGCUCCUUGUUCUCUCUUCCCCUCCCUUUCUGUACUAGAUUAGUCUAAA
ensembl:Y_RNA Y_RNA Y RNA